GGGGGGACAGGGUGACAGGUGGUGCAUGGUUGUCGUCAGCUCGUGUCGUGAGAUGUUGGGUUAAGUCCCGCAACGAGCGCAACCUCGACCUUAGUUGCCAGCAUUCAGUUGGGCACUCUAAGGUGACUGCCGGCUAAAAGUCGGAGGAAGGUGGGGAUGACGUCAAAUCAUCAUGCCCCUUAUGACCUGGGCUACACACGUGCUACAAUGGGCGGUACAAAGGGUCGCGAACCCGCGAGGGGGAGUCAAUCCCAAAAAGCCGCUCUCAGUUCGGAUUGCAGGCUGCAACUCGCCUGCAUGAAGCCGGAAUCGCUAGUAAUCGCGGAUCAGCAUGCCGCGGUCGAAUACGUUCCCGGGCCUU
rnacentral:rRNA from 1 species